GGAGCGCUCGCCUUUCUUUCCCGGGUUUUGUUCUCACAGCUGUGUCCAUUCCGCCCGUGACCCCGCGAGUGAUCCCUGACAGAACAGUCCCUUUCUCUGCCCUGGGGGAGCCGGGAAGAUGUGCAGCCCCAGCCCUCGUUCUCAGCGGAGCCUCGCGCGCGCAGAGCCUAGCGCGAUUCGCGCCCUCAUUACCACUACAAAGCGCGGGCCAGACCAAUCCCCUUUCUAAUGCACCAUUUUCGACUGAGAACAUCAAGAGGCCAGAAACUUCCAAGUCAGCUUGCAGACGCAGACGCCUCCUGGGUCCUGGCUUUAAGAACCAGAUGCCAACAUUCCCGGACAGUUUAUGGCAUCCGGAUCCCUCAAGGGUGCUCAUCUGCAGUUGAGAGUCUAAUAAACGGCAUUAACAAAGCGUUUCAACGACUACCACGGCUUAACAGUGGCUCCUCCCCUGCCCUGCCACCAUUCGGGCCGUAA
rnacentral:lncRNA from 1 species